rnacentral:rRNA from 1 species
UACGUAGGGUGCGAGCGUUGUCCGGAAUUAUUGGGCGUAAAGAGCUUGUAGGCGGUUUGUCGCGUCUGCUGUGAAAAUCCGGGGCUCAACCCCGGACUUGCAGUGGGUACGGGCAGACUAGAGUGCGGGAGAGGAGAGUGGAAUUCCUGGUGUAGCGGUGAAAUGCGCAGAUAUCAGGAAGAACACCCGUGGCGAAGGCGGCUCUCUGGAACGCAACUGACGCUGAGACGCGAAAGCGUGGGGAGCAAACAGG